UACAGAGGUCCCAAGCGUUAGGCGGAAUUACUGGGCGUAAAGCGCGUGUAGGCGGCUAAGUAAGUCGGGCGUGAAAUCCCACGGCUCAACCGUGGAAGUGCACUCGAAACUGCAUAGCUAGAGUCCUGGAGAGGAAGGUGGAAUGCUUGGUGUAGAGGUGAAAUUCGUAGAUAUCAAGCGGAACACCGGUGGCGAAGGCGGCCUUCUGGACAGUGACUGACGCUGAGACGCGAAAGCGUGGGGAGCAAACAGG
rnacentral:rRNA from 1 species